AUUCAUUCUGUUGAGAUGAACAUUGAUGUAACUCCCAAAGUUGAGAUCAGCUGCUAUUCCAGCAUCAAGCUCAGAAGUAUCUUCCUCUGAAUCUCUUUUUCCUGGGUUUAAGGAUCCUGCCCCGGGGGUAACACAGCCAUCAGCCCAGGAAGCUCCAAAAUCCAGCCUUGAGUAUCCAUGCAUUUUUUUAUUCAACAAAUAUAUGAGACCCGCUGUAUUCUAGUCCUUACAGUAGGCAUUGAGGAUAGAGCAAUGAACAAAAUCCAACAAGCUCUACAGUUCCUCUUUUUAUGAGGCUUACCAUCUAAUUAAGACAGGCAUUGAUAUGCUGUGUUUGUGUGUAUAAAAGAGCACAAAAUUACAUGCAUAUAUUAUAUGCAUGCACACAUAUGUAAAAUAUAACUGUGACACUCCUUGAGGAGGAAUAAGUAAGCAUAAACUAGGGGAACUGACCUGGUUGGGGAGCUCAGGGAAGGGUUCCCUGAAGAAAUGAUAACCCAGCUGAGAUGUAAAAGAUGAGUAGACUUUAAUUAGGGGAAGAGGGGAAAGAGCGCUCCCUGUGGAAGAAAUAGGAUGUCCAAAGGCCCUGUGGCCUAAGGAAGCAGGUGUGUGUGGCAGAGUGCAUUUUCUAAAGAUGGCUGCAUCACUUUGUGAUACUCCAUAGCUCUUCCUGCAACAUGAGGCCACACUCACCCAUGGAGAGAUGAAGGUCUGUGUCCCCUUGAAUCCAGUGGGCCUACUGCAGAUGUGAUGCCAUGUGACUUCUGAGGCUAAAUCUAAAAAUGUUCUAUCUCGUCUUCUUGGGACCCAGGACCAUGCUGUGAGGCACCCAUGGAGCCACGUGGAAAAGUCCCAGCUGGCAAGGGCCAAUUGCCCUCCAGACACAAGAGUGAAAGGGCCUUCAGAUGACUCCAGACCCAGCCUCUGAGCCACUGCAGCAGAUGCCAAGUGGAGUGAGCGCUGCCUGGAUUUCAGAUCUGGUACAGCGGCACUUCCCAACCGUGGCUAAGACCAGAAUCACCUACGGGGCUAAGAUCAGAAUCACCUACGGAGCUCACAUGUUAGAGACCCACCCCAGACCUAGUGACUCAGAACCUCCCGCGACGGAGCAUGGGUGUGUUUGUUUAUUUGUCCUUACUUUUUUUUUUUUUUAAAGAGCUUCCUGGGAGUCCCCACCCCACUAGCCCUCCCCCACCCUCACCCUUAGGAACCACUGAUAUAUUUUUUUGCUUUUCAUGGUAAUAAGAUCUACCAUAUGUGAAGGUCUCUCAUGUGCUGGGGGCUUUGCCUGUAACACACCUAAUUCUUCUAACAACUCUGUAGGUUAGGAAUUAUUACCUUGCACAUAUUACAAAUGAGGCAACCUCCACCCAGAAAAAUUUAAGCAAAAUUGUCCUGAGCUACUAAAUCCAAAUCUCUGCUCUUUCUACAUGAAAAUCCAUCAUUAUGUGAGAGGCUCAGGGAAUCAGCAAGAUGAAUUAGUUUGCUUAGGAAAGUAGUAGAUACAUCAUUGGAUAUUUUUCAGAAAAAAAGUCCUUCUCUCCUGCCCUCUGCUUUUUCUUUUCUUUUCUUUUCUUUUCUUUUUUCUUUCUUUGAGAGACGGAGUCUUGCCCUAUAGCCCAGGCUGGAGUGCAGUGGUACGAUCUUGGCCCACUGCAACCUCCACCUGUCUGGUUCAAGCGAUUCUCGUGCCUCAGCCUCCCAAGUAGCUGGGAUUAUAGGCAUGCACCACUAUGCCUCGCUAUUUUUUGUAUUUUUAGUAGAGACGGGGUUUCACCAUACUGGGCAGGGUGGUCUCAAACUCCUGACCUCAAGUGAUCCACCACCUCAGCCUCCCAAAGUGCUGGAAUUACAGGCGUGAGCCACUGCGCCCUGCCUCCUCCCUGCUUUUUCUUAUCCCUUGGGUCUUAGAUAGCAUUUCUUUAGGGGUACUUUUUCUGAGUCCCUAACUCUGGCCAGCUGUCCCUUCUCUGUGUGCCCAGUCCACUCUGUACUGGACUUAACACAUAUUGUAAUGUUUGUCUACUUCUUUGUCUAUUCUCCCAGAGGGCAGAUAUUCAGACUCACCACCAAAGCCCUCACUAGUCAUCUAGUUGAGUACCUGCCUCAUUUAAAU
rnacentral:lncRNA from 1 species